AGACUUCGCAAAACACCAGCAGCCGCGUCAGUAUUUGAAAUGUAAACACGGAACUGGAAGUAUCCAAUCAGAAACUCCCUUUGCUUUCCGCACUAAUUUACAUUUACUUUCAGCUGAGCUCGGGGCAGCAUCUCGGAACAUCCAUCUCCCCUCCCAAAAUAUAAAUCAAAAACAAAAAAAAAUGUCCGCAACAUCCCUGAAAUGGUAUCAGGCUCCACUGGAGAGAUUCAUGGACAAAGUAGCGAUUAUCAGCGUGUCGACCUACAGGGAUCGCUAUCUGGAGGAGCUGGAGAAAAAUGCGCACCCGAUGGGGAAAAGGACGGAGCGGGAUGAAGGGGUCAAGGAUGUGUCAAAAAUCAAACAGGAAGUGAUAAUGACCAAUGCAUAAGACCAAUUUGUAAACGAUGAAAAUAACUCAAUGAAUGAGCUUAGCACUUCUUCUUCAUGUGGCUUGACUGAUCCCACUCAGCAUUGAUGAUAUGGUAGAUGGCCAGAUGCGGGUGGACUGGGAAUGAAGGUUGAAAGGUCAGCGACGCUCGGAGGGACAUGUCAAUGAGCUCCAACGUGAACUUCUGCCUUUUCCUUAAAAUGCGCCCUUUCCCUUUCUGUAACUAAUAUCAUUUUCAGAUUAAAAUUUAUAAAGUUCAAACAUUUAAUUGCA